rnacentral:rRNA from 1 species
GAUGAACGCUGACAGAAUGCUUAACACAUGCAAGUCAACUUGAAUUUGGGUUUUUAACUUCGGUUUGGGUGGCGGACGGGUGAGUAACGCGUAAAGAACUUGCCUCACAGCUAGGGACAACAUUUGGAAACGAAUGCUAAUACCUAAUAUUAUGAUAAUAGGGCAUCCUAUAAUUAUGAAAGCUAUAAGCGCUGUGAGAGAGCUUUGCGUCCCAUUAGCUAGUUGGAGAGGUAACGGCUCACCAAGGCGAUGAUGGGUAGCCGGUCUGAGAGGGUGAUCGGCCACAAGGGGACUGAGACACGGCCCUUACUCCUACGGGAGGCAGCAGUGGGGAAUAGUGGACAAUGGACCGAGAGUCUGAUCCAGCAAUUCUGUGUGCACGAUGAAGUUUUUCGGAAUGUAAAGUGCUUUCAGUUGGGAAGAAACAAAUGACGGUACCAACAGAAGAAGUGACGGCUAAAUACGUG